GCGACUGCUAUUUGGGUGAGGAUAAGCCAUGCGAGUUGAAUGGGAUACCCAAAGUUCCCAUGGCAAACUGCUCAGUAACACAUGAUCAACUUACCCUAUAGAGGAAAAUAACCUCGGGAAACUGAGGAUAAUAUUCCAUAGUUGAAUCGGCUUGGAAAAGUUUUUCAAUAAAAGGGAUAAGGAAAAUGGUUCUUAUCUGCUAUAGGAUAGGAUCGUGUUCGAUUAUGGUAGUUGGUGAGGUAACGGCUCACCAAGCCGAUAAUCGAUAGGGGCCGUGAGAGCGGGAGCCCCGAGAUGGGUACUGAGACAACGACCCAGGCCUUACGAGGCGCAGCAGGUACGAAACCUCCACAAUACACGAAAGUGUGAUGGGGUUACCCAAAGUGUUCAUUAUUGAACUGUGGUAGGAGAGUAAUGUCCCCUACUAGAAAGGAGAGGGCAAGGCUGGUGCCAGCCGCCGCGGUAAAACCAGCUCUUCAAGUGGUCGGGAUAAUUAUUGGGCUUAAAGUGUCCGUAGCCGGUUUAGUAAGUUCCUGGUAAAAUCGGGUAGCUUAACUAUCUGUAUGAUAGGAAUACUGCUAUACUAGAGGGCGGGAGAGGUCUGAGGUACUACAGGGGUAGGGGGUGAAAUCUUAUAAUCCUUGUAGGACCACCAGUGGCGAAGGCGUCAGACUGGAACGCGCCUGACGGUUAGGGACGAAAGCCAAGGGAGCGAACCGGAUUAGAUACCCGGGUAGUCCUGGCCGUAAACGAUGCAUACUAGGUGAUGGUAUGGCUAUGAGCCAUAUCAGUGCCGUAGGGAAACCGUUAAGUGUGCCGCCUGGGAAGUACGGUCGCAAGGCUAAAAC
rnacentral:rRNA from 1 species